CAGGGUGUGGCGCAGUUGGUAGCGCGUACGACUGGGGGUCGUGAGGUCGCUGGUUCAAGUCCAGUCACCCUGACCA
rnacentral:tRNA from 1 species